ensembl:ncRNA lncRNA:CR45788 long non-coding RNA:CR45788
AUUGUUGCGUGGGCGUAUCCAUUUACCCGAUUGCAGAUUACACACAAGGCCACCGGCUGCCAGAUAUUUCCAGAGGACUGCAGCUGCUGCUGACGUGUCCUGCGGGAGGAUAUACACGUGCAAUCGCACACACACCCACACACAGGUGUGCAGUGCAGGACCACAAAAUAUUCGCAACAGCAUACGAGCUGACUUAGCACUUUGGGGUGGAGGCUAAAAAUUGCAUUUCAUAAAUUCUGGCAAUUAGGAGCUGUCCGAAAGGCAGGACGUGGAAUGUUGGCGUUACGCAAGGACACACCCAAUAACGGCCAAUUGAGGCGCAUCCUGCUGGCAAGAGGACCGCUCAAAUGACCUACUCUGAAUUGUAAAUUCAAUCCAUACUAUAUCUGAAUGUGCC